ACUUUCGCUAACGAUCCUCCCACCUCUAGCGACGGUUCUUCGAAACGUUUCUCAUCGGUCUGCGCAUUGCUAGACAAGACGACAUCCUUGUGCUCUUUCAGGUCCCCAAGAGUUCCAUUGUUGAGAGUCGAAGGAUUUAAGGUCAUACUUCUCCCAACAAUUUCAAAUUUUACUACACGAGGUUUUCGAGGCCCGUAAAAGCUAUAAACCUCAAUAUAUACUCUCCACUGAUAGAAUUUUGAAAUAAAUGUCGAUUAGAGAGACGUUGGCUUUGGUAAGAACCGUUCUACAUCCGUUACUUACUAAGAGGUUCAGCCAAGUAGCAGGCGUUGAAAAGUAGAGUACGAGCCGAAGCGAAAGAUAGGUGAACAAGUAGUCACAUAUUGAACGAACCAAAAACUCAUCUUCUACACGGACUAUUGUAAUUUAAGGAAAGACAGCAGCUUUCAAACUCCCAUGGUGCAGUUACUAAUGGAAGUAUUCCACUGAGAAAUCUGAGAAGCAAUCUUAUUAUUAGUUCGUAAGGAAUUCAAAUGUUUGGCACCAAAGCAGAUAUUGUUACUAUAUGAAUUGAUAAUUUAAAUAACAAUCUCAUGCUUAAACACACUUUCAAGCUAUUGGAACAUGAGACACAAGUAUAAACAGUUCCAUAGAUGAGCCUCGCAAUCGAGCGAUUGUUUCUCGCUUAGAUAUAACUGUAUUUUUUAUGAGGGUACAUGUGACUAGCAAUGCGGUAUCAAAAAACCAAAGGACAAAAUACAAAAAACAGGAUUAGCUGUUAUCCAGAAAAGAAUCAAAUGCAAGCAUGAAAUUUUUUGAAUAAUUUUCUGAAGCACAAACAGCUCUAAGUAUCAAACAUUAAGAGUUGCGAGAACCGCCUAAAUGGAACACUCGCUUUCAUCAUCAUACUUGAUGGUCUGAGAUUGAUCUGGAAAGUGGAGUGAACGAACACUAAGAAUGAAAAUGCUAAAUUUAAAUUGCUAUCUAUUAAUAUAUAAUUUUUCUUAUCGUUUGACUUACACUUCCAUUCUAGAAACUUGCAAAUAGGGGCAGUAAAGAUAGGCAGCAGAGGCCCUCAAAAGGACUGAAAAAUUAUUUACUUCACCCAAAAAAGCGUGGGCCAAGUUUAUGGAAACAUCUUAGCGAAUAUCUAUCAUCAAGACGAAAACAAUUAUCUCAAAUGCAAACGGUAAUAGAAUGCUAACAAGCAACUAUGAUAACUAUAUAAUGCUUUAUAAAUCAGUCUACCUUUUUUACCUCCAAUAAACUACCACAUUUCAAAUCAAAAUUUUCAUACACCACAUACUUUACGGAUUUUUUACACAUUAAAAACAAGUGAAGAAAAAACAAUUCAUUUAAAAUUAUAUCUUAAUCUAUUUCGUAGAAAGGUCGUCAGCUAUAGAGAUCGCCCUAGGAGCGCAAUCAAAAUGAUAACGUGGAAUAAAAGAGGAAAAUCUCAUACAUGUCUAUCAUUAUCGUAGCAAACCCCAGAAAAGGAAAAGGGGGAAAACAAGCAUAAGAAUAAAAAACCAAAAGUUCGCACAUAUGUAAGACCCCCCAAAACCGAACGCAUGUUCAGUUGAAUAGCUUGGAGUUUAACAACGGCUGAUUAGAGAGAUAUAGAUUGACGACGGAAUAAAUCGAAAGAAGCAAUCUAAUCCUUGGAAGCAGUGUAGGCAACCAAGUCAACAACACGGUGGGAGUAACCCCAUUCGUUAUCGUACCAAGAGACGAGCUUGACGAAUUGAGGAGAAAGUUGGAUACCGGCAGAGGCAUCGAAGAUGGAGGAGUGGUUGUCACCACAGAAGUCGGUGGAGACAACAGAGUCCUCGGUGUAACCCAACACACCCUUCAUGGGACCCUCAGAGGCAGCCUUGAUAGCAGCCUUGAUGUCCUCGUAGUUGGUAGGCUUGGCCAACUUGACGGUCAAGUCAACAACGGAAACAUCGGGGGUAGGGACACGGAAAGCCAUACCGGUA
rnacentral:lncRNA from 1 species